rnacentral:rRNA from 1 species
CACGUAGGGGGGCGAGCGUUUGUCCGGAUUUAUUGGGCGUAAAGAGCUCGUAGGCGGUUUCGUAAGUCGGAUGUGAAAACUCCAGCUCAACUUGGAGACGCCAUUCGAUACUGCGAUGACUUGAGUCCGGUAGGGGAGUGUGGAAUUCCUGGUGUAGCGGUGAAAUGCGCAGAUAUCAGGAGGAACACCGGCGGCGAAGGCGGCACUCUGGGCCGGUACUGACGCUGAGGAGCGAAAGCCAGGGGAGCAAACGGG